CGAGGGUGCAAGCGUUAAUCGGAAUUACUGGGCGUAAAGCGAGUGUAGGCGGUUACUUAAGUCGGAUGUGAAAUCCCCGGGCUCAACCUGGGAAUUGCAUUCGAUACUGGGUAGCUAGAGUUUGGUAGAGGUAAGUGGAAUUCCGGGUGUAGCGGUGAAAUGCGUAGAUAUCCGGAGGAACAUCAGUGGCGAAGGCGGCUUACUGGACCAAAACUGACGCUGAGGCUCGAAAGCGUGGGGAGCAAACAGGAUUAGAUACCCGAGUAGUCC
rnacentral:rRNA from 1 species